UGCGUAGGCAGCGAGCGUUGUUCGGAGUUACUGGGCGUAAAGAGUGCGUAGGCGGUUUUCUAAGUUUGGUGUGAAAUCUCCCGGCUCAACUGGGAGGGUGCGCCGAAGACUGGAAGGCUUGAGUAUGGGAGAGGUAAGCGGAAUUCCUGGUGUAGCGGUGAAAUGCGUAGAUAUCAGGAGGAACACCUGCGGUGUAGACGGCUUACUGGACCAUAACUGACGCUGAGGCACGAAAGCGUGGGUAGCAAACAGG
rnacentral:rRNA from 1 species